rnacentral:misc_RNA from 1 species
AAGCCGUAACAAGGUUUCCGUAGGAAGGAUCAUUAACACGUAUAACGUUAAAACAACCCGUGAACUUUCAGCUUGCUCCUGUAGCCGUGACAACAGCAAUCCAUGGUAAAUCAUUGUUGACCUUGAGUCAGAUAGUGAUUUUAAGGUUACGGUUGAGCGAUUGCUUUUAGUGGCAUCCCAAGUAAUCAGUGUCUGAAGUGUCAUUGAUUAUGUAAGGAUGGCGCAGUCACGAGCACACGGCCGGCGACCGGCACCGGGCGCCCUUUACGACAACUACAGUCUAACUUCGCCGCGCGUGAAAUUCGGACGGCACCAAAAACCGAACAACUGUGUGGAUAUCUUGGUUCUC